rnacentral:lncRNA from 1 species
CCUCUCUUCUGUCAAGACAACAAGGAGGAAGAAACCCAGUGACUUUGGGCCCUGCAGGUGAUUGGUGACGUGGGUGGCUGAUCCAUGGCAGAGGAAGAAUACCAGAGAUUGUUUUUGCCUCUCAUUUGUUGGCUUGUUCCUCCCCUUCCCCUUCCUCUACACACCAAUUACUGAACAAAUUAAUUUUUUUUUCUGGAUGCACCUUCUACCCAAACCUCUCCACUCUGCAAAUGCAAUUGGUUUUCCAUCUCCCAGCUCCAUUGUUGUUUAUUGGCAUAGACUUUUGGCAUCUCAUCUCCCAGUCUUGGUCACAGUACCAGAAAGCACCUCACAUUAUCCCACCAAGUUUCCAUCUUCCUCCAGGCCUCGCACAGCUGACCCACAAGCCUACUAUUAACGACUGGCAAGAUACUCAUAUUUCACCUCGUUAGGAGACCGCAUCUGUAGGGGGGCUGUAAUUUCCGAGCUUUCCAGGGAUAGGGAUCUCUUCCUCUCCUGGCUACCCACAGAGGUUGGCAGCUGUCCGUUUUCUGGAAUCCCCAUCUGGCUUCCCCUAAGAGUGGCCAGGGGCAGGCCCAGAGAGAAGUGGAGCCAAAAGAGAUGGCAGCUCAGACUGUGAAAUUGGAGCUGGGGAAAAAAAACAAACACAAAAGCACAGUGGAAAUGGCUAAGUUGCAGGUCACCGCGCCACAAACCAGGGCAAGAAGUUUCCUUUGUGGAGUGCUUUAAGAAAAAAAUCUCUUUGGGGACCAUCCCUGGACGCGCCAUCAUUUUGGCUUCAUUCGUGUCCAAGGAAUCCUUUGAAGGAGGAUCCUCCUUCCCCAGGCCAUGUGUUUUUUGUUGCUGCUUAAUCCUCUUCUUGGCAGAGGCCUGAAUUGUUGUGUCCAUAUUUUUACCUCUUCUUUAGCCGGAUGAGUUGCAUCGGACAUGCAUGAGCUGUCCCACUCAGUACUGGGGAAAUUAAACCCAGGGAAAAGGAAUACGUCGCGUUUGUCUUUAAAAACGAUACUUCGGAUGCUUUCCUGGUCCUCGUUUUCCCCCUUUCUUCCCCCCUCCCCCUACAUUUGGGGGGGUCUUUAAUUAAUUGGGGGGGGGAGAGCAGGGGAUAGAUGAAUGCUGAUCAGCCUCUGUGCUCACCACAUUCUUCAAUCCAAAGUUGACUGUUAUGUAACCGUCUCAUGGAGCUGCUGCACAUAAACGAAAGGGGCUUGUUGCUAUAACUACAAAGCUCAUAAAUUCAGCCCCAACUUUAAGAUGAUGUGUUUUUUAAGCUUUCCCAGUGAGGACUGAGAAAGGCUGGGCAAGCCUUUCAAGUUCUCAGGGAGAGCCCAAAUCUAUACUUUUCAAAUAAAACUUAAAAACAGGGAUGACUUCA